rnacentral:misc_RNA from 1 species
UACUGGCAGGAUCAACCAGGCAACAGUGAAGAACAAGUAUCCUCUUCCUCAGAUCGAUGAGCUCUUCGACCAGCUUCAGGGGGCCCAGUUUUUCUCGAGGGUGGACUUGAGAUCAGGAUAUCAUCAGCUUCGAGUCAGAGAGCAGGAUGUGCAGAAGACGGCGUUUCGUACCCGUUAUGGGCACUAUGAGUUCCUCGUGAUGCCAUUCGGGUUGACGAAUGUGCCAGCUUGAUGAACAAGAUCUUCGCUCCGUACCUCGACAGCUUUACAGUGAUCUUCAUCGACGAUGUAUUGAUUUAUUCCAAGUCCAAGGAGGAGCAUGAGCAGCAUUUGAGGACAUCCUUGCAGUUGUUGCGCGACAACCAGGUAUAUGCAAAGCUCAGCA